UUAUCUUUCAUUUGAUAUUUUAAAUUGUUUCCCUUUUUCGUAUUUCUUCCUAUAACUUGUUAUGAAUCUUUAUCCUAGGUGGCUUUAGGACAAAUUCUGACACAUGAUUAAAAGGAAUUUUCAAACCAGGAGUGCAGAAUGUAGGUGCCAAUGGGGAAUUUGUGCACUCGACAUCUAGAAGACACACAAAAUGUUCAUGAAAAUGAAGAUUUGAAAACAAACAGAAGAUUUCAACUUUUAAAUUAAUACAGUAAGGAUCAAGAUUCCAUUCUUUUCUUCUAUGUAGAUAACCAUCCAAUCAACCUGACACUGCUUCCUCAAGACAUUUUUGAGUUGGGAAUGUAGCUCAGUGACAGAAGACUUGCUGAGCAUGCAUGAGGUUCAAUACCCAGCAUUGUGUAAAAAAAAAAAAAGAUAUCCUGUACUCACUGCACUGUCUCUUUUGUCAUUAAUCAGUUGGUCACAUAGUGA